UUUGCCCACAGGCACUUCCACUUGCAAAAUCUAGUGUCGUUAUAACGUGCCUAAAGAACGGCACUUGGGGAAUGGAGAAUCCAUUCAAAGCAGACGACUUGUACUGCCUAAGAAUGUGCAUCGAAGAACCAGUUUCACCACCGGCACCAGGCAAUACAACUUGGGAUCGAAUCCCAAGUCAAGUCGGCACCAAGGUCAACCUAACCUGCCCACCUGGAUACGCCUUUCCGAACUUUAGCCAAACCAUUCGGCUAACCUGUGAGGAAGGAGGUAAUUGGUCACUAGUGGAUUCUCGGGAAAUCCUCUGCA